CAUUGUUCUUUCUCUACAAAAACCCCUACCCACGCUCAAGUAAGUGCUCUGCUGCCAGGAUCCAAAAUCUGCAUCAGUUCCAUUGGGACUUCAUCUUCUCCUGACUGAUUGUGCUGGGGGCUUUACCUGUCUCCAGCACUCCGGACCCUCAGCCACCACCACCACCUGGGACUCCUGAUCGAUUCAAGCUUCAUGGACUGUGCCCUCUCCAAUUUGGCAACAUUCUUCUUGAAUUGUGGGCACCAGAAAUGGACACAGGAUUUCAACAGCGGUUGCACCAGUGCCAAAUAUAGAGUAAUGGACCAAUGUCAUAGUCAACAUGUGGAUAGUGGUUGUCUGCAGUGGAGAUAUGUCAUCCUGAUACUCCGAGACCUGUGAAGUCAUUGACCAGGAGCAAACAUUACUCUUGCUGCAUGCUCAAUAUAGCUGGCAAUUGGAGCUUGACCUUGCAAGAUGCUGAGUACUGAGGAGAACUGGAACGAAGAUUGAAAGAGCCAGAAGAGUACCCAGAAGUCACCUACUACAGGACAGGCCCAACAAAGAAAGUAACAGAACGCCACUAGCCGUCACCUUCAGCCCCCAACUAAAACCUCUCCAGUGCAUCAUCAAGGAUCUACAACCUAUCGUGAAGGACAAUUCCUCACUCUCACAGAUCUUGGGAGACAGCUGCAAAUGUCUCAAUGCUCCCCCUAUCAUCUCCGUCCCAGAGGCUAGUGCAGAUAAGAAGGUGAAAAAAACCGUACUUGUGAUGAAAUGUUCUCAUGCAGUCCUCCCACACUGAAACAGCCCAGCAGAAUGUGUGGAGACAAACAAUGGCAGAGUCCAGGAAAGCAGAAAAUGAACGCGAGGACAGGAGGGAUGAGCAAGAGGAGAGGUGGUGGCAGCGUGAUGAGAGGAGGCAGGAUGUAAUGCUGAGGCUACUGGAGGAUCAAACUAAUAUGUUCUGGUGUCUGGUGGAGCUGCAGGAAAGGCAGCAGAAGCACGGACAACCGCUGCAGCCACUGUGUAACCGCCUGCCCUCCUCCCCAAGUUCCAUAGUCUCCUCAACCAGAUGCCCAAGAACGCGGGGGGGAGGGGCUCUCUGGGCACGCAACCACUCCACCCCAGAGGACUGCCCAAGCAACAGAAAGCUGGCAUUCAAUAAGUUUUGAAGUGCUGUGUGGCCUUGUCCUUCCCCCUUCCCCACAUCCACCACCCCACCCAGUGCUUCCCUUUUCCCCCACCCCUCCCAGGCUACCUUGGCAGUUACCCCCUUAUUUGUGUGAUGAAUUA